rnacentral:rRNA from 1 species
AUACGGAGGGUCCGAGCGUUAUCCGGAUUUAUUGGGUUUAAAGGGUGCGCAGGCGGGGGAUUAAGUCGGCGGUGAAAAUUUGCAGGUCCAAUGGAAAAGGGCCUUCGAAACUGGUUUUCGUGAGUGUAGAUGAAGGAGGCGGAAUUUGUGGUGUAGCGGUGAAAUGCAUAGAUAUCACGAGGAACUCCGAUUGCGCAGGCAGCUUACUAAACUACUACUGACGCUCAGGCACGAAGGCGUGGGGAUCAAACAGGAUUAGAUACCCUGGUAGUCCACGCAGUAAACGAUGAUUACUAGCUGUUUGCGAUACAAUGUAAGCGGCUGAACGAAAGCGUUAAGUAAUCCACCUGGGGAGUACGUUCGCAAGAUUAAAACUCAAAGGAAUUGACGGGG